GCGUCGGCCGGCCAGCGGUGGUGCCCGCGCCCUCCCAUGGCGUGGGCAACGCGACCGGCCCGGUGCUGGUCGCGCUCGGCGCGCGGACGGCACC
rnacentral:tRNA from 1 species